UUCCCUUCUACGGUACAAUAGGGAUGACCCGUGUUGUCAGUAGCACGCUACAGCAGCACUACAGUAGCAUAGCGGUGGCCCUUGGCUACUUGAAGACAUGCAGUAGCAGAGUACUUAGUGUAGUAGUUGUAGCAGUUGCUAUAGCGAUCAAAACAGUGGCUUGCCAUGGCCUCAAUAGUGUCCCACCAUACGCAGGGUCCGGGAAGCAUCUCACAAUUUUUGUUAUAAAAUUUUCAAAAUAACAGUCGUCCUGCUAUCUGCUUUCUCACUAGCAAUUUGUGGCUCAGCCGCUAUCCAGGAUUCAUAACACUAUGGACAAGGUUAUUACUAUCUGAUGAGUAGGAAUCAAAUUCGGUACUCAGAAGUUUAGAACAGUCAAACACACUAUGCACCAACCAUUUGUGCUAGACCCGAAGUAUUUCCAGGUUAUUACUACUACAAAAUCGGUCAAUUAUCAAUUUACUGGAUGCUUUGGAAAGAAUGCAUUCAUGCUUAGCAGCCACAAUUUCGAAUGGUGCCUUUUUUUGCAGGUAAAUUCCUUCAUCAUUCUGAGAAUCUCGUUUAUGGAUUAAAAAGGUUAGAUGACUAUUGUGUAAUAUAUAAAACUGGGAAUUGGGAAGCACAUGGAUAAAGUAAAGACAAGUUUAUUUCCAGACAUUAGCCAUU